CCUACGGGGUGCAGCAGUGAGGAAUAUUGGUCAAUGGGAGAGAUCCUGAACCAGCCAAGCCGCGUGAGGGAAGACGGCCCUAUGGGUUGUAAACCUCUUUUGUCGGAGAACAAAACCCGGGACGUGUCCCGGACUGCGUGUAUCCGACGAAAAAGCAUCGGCUAACUCCGUGCCAGCAGCCGCGGUAAUACGGAGGAUGCGAGCGUUAUCCGGAUUUAUUGGGUUUAAAGGGUGCGUAGGCGGUCCGUUAAGUCAGCGGGAAAAUUGCGGGGCUAAACCCCGUCGAGCCGUUGAAACUGGCAGACUUGAGUUGGCGAGAAGUACGCGGAAUGCGCGGUGUAGCGGUGAAAUGCAUAGAUAUCGCGCAGAACUCCGAUUGCGAAGGCAGCGUACCGGCGCCAGACUGACGCUGAGGCACGAAAGCGUGGGGAUCGAACAGGAUUAGAUACCCGGGUAGUC
rnacentral:rRNA from 1 species